AGAGUUUGAUCCUGGCUCAGGAUGAACGCUGGCGGCGUGCUUAACACAUGCAAGUCGAACGAUGAAGCCCAGCUUGCUGGGUGGAUUAGUGGCGAACGGGUGAGUAACACGUGAGUAACCUGCCCCUGACUCUGGGAUAAGCCCGGGAAACUGGGUCUAAUACCGGAUAUGACCAUGGGACGCAUGUCUUGUGGUGGAAAGAUUUAUCGGUUGGGGAUGGACUCGCGGCCUAUCAGCUUGUUGGUGAGGUAAUGGCUCACCAAGGCGACGACGGGUAGCCGGCCUGAGAGGGUGACCGGCCACACUGGGACUGAGACACGGCCCAGACUCCUACGGGAGGCAGCAGUGGGGAAUAUUGCACAAUGGGCGCAAGCCUGAUGCAGCGACGCCGCGUGAGGGAUGACGGCCUUCGGGUUGUAAACCUCUUUCAGUAGGGAAGAAGCGAGAGUGACGGUACCUGCAGAAGAAGCGCCGGCUAACUACGUGCCAGCAGCCGCGGUAAUACGUAGGGCGCAAGCGUUAUCCGGAUUUAUUGGGCGUAAAGAGCUCGUAGGCGGUUUGUCGCGUCUGCCGUGAAAGUCCGAGGCUCAACCUCGGAUCUGCGGUGGGUACGGGCAGACUAGAGUGAUGUAGGGGAGACUGGAAUUCCUGGUGUAGCGGUGAAAUGCGCAGAUAUCAGGAGGAACACCGAUGGCGAAGGCAGGUCUCUGGGCAUUUACUGACGCUGAGGAGCGAAAGCAUGGGGAGCGAACAGGAUUAGAUACCCUGGUAGUCCAUGCCGUAAACGUUGGGCACUAGGUGUGGGGGACAUUCCACGUUUUCCGCGCCGUAGCUAACGCAUUAAGUGCUCCGCCUGGGGAGUACGGUCGCAAGAUUAAAACUCAAAGGAAUUGACGGGGGCCCGCACAAGUAGCGGAGCAUGUGGUUUAAUUCGACGCAACGCGAAGAACCUUACCUAGACUUGACAUCUUCUGCAUUACCCUUAAUCGGGGAAGUUCCUUCGGGAACAGAAUGACAGGUGGUGCAUGGUUGUCGUCAGCUCGUGUCGUGAGAUGUUGGGUUAAGUCCCGCAACGAGCGCAACCCUUAUUGUUAGUUGCUAUCAUUUAGUUGAGCACUCUAGCGAGACUGCCCGGGUUAACCGGGAGGAAGGUGGGGAUGACGUCAAAUCAUCAUGCCCCUUAUGUCUAGGGCUACACACGUGCUACAAUGGCCGGUACAGAGAGACGCGAUACCGCGAGGUGGAGCAAAACUUUAAAACCGGUCUCAGUUCGGAUUGUAGGCUGAAACUCGCCUACAUGAAGCUGGAGUUACUAGUAAUCGCGAAUCAGCAUGUCGCGGUGAAUACGUUCCCGGGCCUUGCACACACCGCCCGUCAAG
rnacentral:rRNA from 1 species